UACGGGGGGUGCGAGCGUUGUCCGGAAUCACUGGGCGUAAAGGGCGCGUAGGUGGUUUGAUAAGGGUGUGGUGAAAGUCCGGGGCUCAACCCCGGAUCUGCCGUGCCGACUGUCAAACUCGAGGGCUGUAGAGGCAGACGGAAUUCCGGGUGUAGCGGUGGAAUGCGUAGAGAUCCGGAGGAAGACCGGUGGCGAAGGCGGUCUGCUGGGCAGUUCUGACACUGAUGCGCGACAGCGUGGGGAGCAAACAGG
rnacentral:rRNA from 1 species